GAUGAACGCUGGCGGCGUGCCUAAUACAUGCAAUUCGAGCGAACGGACGAGAAGCUUGCUUCUCUGUUUUUAGCGGCGGACGGGUGAGUAACACGUGGAUAACCUCCCUAUAAGACUGGGAUAACUUCGGGAAACCGGAGCUAAUACCGGAUAAUAUUUUGAACCGCAUGGUUCAAAAGUGAAAGACGGUCUUGCUGUCACUUAUAGAUGGAUCCGCGCUGCAUUAGCUAGUUGGUAAGGUAACGGCUUACCAAGGCAACGAUGCAUAGCCGACCUGAGAGGGUGAUCGGCCACACUGGAACUGAGACACGGUCCAGACUCCUACGGGAGGCAGCAGUAGGGAAUCUUCCGCAAUGGGCGAAAGCCUGACGGAGCAACGCCGCGUGAGUGAUGAAGGUCUUCGGAUCGUAAAACUCUGUUAUUAGGGAAGAACAUAUGUGUAAGUAACUGUGCACAUCUUGACGGUACCUAAUCAGAAAGCCACGGCUAACUACGUG
rnacentral:rRNA from 1 species